rnacentral:rRNA from 1 species
GACGAACGCUGGCGGCGUGCUUAACACAUGCAAGUCGAACGGAAAGGCCCCUUUGGGGGUACUCGAGUGGCGAACGGGUGAGUAACACGUGAGUAACCUGCCCUUGACUUCGGGAUAACUUCAGGAAACUGGGGCUAAUACCGGAUAGGAAUCCUUGCUGCAUGGUGGGGGUUGGAAAGCUUCGGCGGUUUUGGAUGGACUCGCGGCUUAUCAGCUUGUUGGUAGGGUAGUGGCUUACCAAGGCUUUGACGGGUAGCCGGCCUGAGAGGGCGACCGGCCACAGUGGGACUGAGAUACGGCCCAGACUCCUACGGGAGGCAGCAGGGGGGAAUAUUGCACAAUGGGCGGAAGCCUGAUGCAGCAACGCCGCGGGCGGGAUGACGGCCUUCGGGUUGUAAACCGCUUUCAGCAGGGGCGAAGCUUGUGGUGACGGUACCUGCAGAAGAAGCACCGGCUAACUACGUG